UAGCUUGCUUUAAUUGUCAGCUAAGUGGCGCACGGGUGAGUAAUGUAUAGAUAACCUGCCCUUAAGAAAGGAAUAACAGUUGGAAACGACUGCUAAUGCCCUAUAUGCCUUUAAUACAUAAGUAUGCAAGGGAAACGCUUUAGUGCUUAAAGAUGGGUCUGUAUGGUAUCAGCUUGUUGGUGAGGUAAUGGCUCACCAAGGCUAUGACGCCUAACUGGUUUGAGAGGAUGAUCAGUCACACUGGAACUGAGACACGGUCCAGACUCCUACGGGAGGCAGCAGUGGGGAAUAUUGCACAAUGGACGAAAGUCUGAUGCAGCAACGCCGCGUGGAGGAUGACACAUUUCGGUGCGUAAACUCCUUUUAUAUAGGAAGAUAAUGACGGUACUAUAUGAAUAAGCACCGGCUAACUCCGUGCCAGCAGCCGCGGUAAUACGGAGGGUGCAAGCGUUACUCGGAAUCACUGGGCGUAAAGAGCGUGUAGGCGGGUAUAUAAGUCAGAAGUGAAAUCCUAUAGCUUAACUAUAGAACUGCUUUUGAAACUGUAUACCUAGAAUGUGGGAGAGGUAGAUGGAAUUUCUGGUGUAGGGGU
rnacentral:rRNA from 1 species